GGCUGCUCCUGGGGCCCAGCUGCCUGUCCUGCUCUCUGCCUUAUCCCAGCCCCUUGGUUGACGGUCGCCUCAGAGAAGCCCUGGAUGAGGCUGAAGACACAUCUAACAAGGAGGACACAGCACAGCACAAAUGCACACCACCACAGGACACAACCCGAUGACAGCAGACAAAGAGAGGCCGUACUCGGUCUUUGCUGGCGCAGGCGAAACAGAGCUGUCUGCAGUGGAAGGAGCAAGCUCAGGGGCUUGUCCACUGGCCCCAGCGGCGGGAGCAGGAGAGCCCAGGGCUGCAAAAACAUCCUUUGCAAGGGUUCCAAAUGGAGAACGUGCAAUGUAAGGAAAGGCACCAGCUGAUGGUGCAGGGUGGUGCAGCUGCUGGGUCCCUGGGCUGGAGCAGAGCCCAAACCUCAGCAAGGUGGACAGGUCUGCACUCACGAGAAGGCGGCCUUGCCCUCCUCCAUGUCCUUGCCCUUGGCCCCAGGCCCGGCUUUUCCACACAGGUUGACCGCAAUGCACAUGAACAGGCCACACUUGUUCAGGAAGUAGCAGGUGAUGUCCACAACCACCAGGAGCAGGACGAAGAUGACGAUGAGGAUGCCCACGAUGGCCCCGGUGCUCAGGCCUGAGGAAUGACCCCAAAGGAGCCCUGCAUUAGAGCACACUGGGUUCAUGGUUUACCCUCCUCACUGCACCCCAGGAAGACGACUGAAGCCCGGGUGACUCCAGAGACAUGGAGGCCUCCCCAGGCCGUGGGCAAGGUGAAAGGUCUGGGAAUACUCACCAUCUAGGAGCUCAGGCCUGCUUGGACCAGACUUCAGGAAAACCUGAAGUGAGUGCAGACUCACUCAGAGGUGCACACACACACAGGCACACUCACACGCAGGAUAAAUGCCCAUGCAGACAGGCAUGCACUCUCACAUUCUAGCACCUGGCACCCUGGUUCUGGCUGGACUCACUGUGAAAGACUCAGCCUGUGUCUUGCUUCCCUGGUGCCCAUCUGCAAUCCCCCCAGGGUCUUUGGCUAUUGAUGGUUUCACAGAGAGACCUGGACUCAGCUCUCUGGGGCCCCUGGGAGAUCAACCCAUGGUUACGAUUGACACUAGUUGCCUGGGAUGGACCAAUCGACCUCUUGGUGGUUCCCAUCAGUGUCUGGGAGACAGUGGUCAUGAUGCAGGAAGCAAGGACCCAUGUGGAGCUCUGCCAUUAAGUCGAUGUGGGAACAAUCACCCUCGACUGAAAUAUGGGCACUUCUAAUUCAUCUUUCCUCCAGAACAACCUGCUUCCAUAACUGGCAGCCCUGCCCCACCAGUAGACUAUGUCUAAAGCUUCCUGUGCUCUCAGGGCCAACUGAAGCCACCCAGGACUGCAGACUGAAGAUGGGAACUGUAGCCAGCACUACCUGGGGCUCACCCCACCAGCCACCCCACUCCCAACCCAGCUCGCUAGGCUUUGCCAAGCACCAGGCCAGGCUCAGCAGCUUGCGAGCCAUGUAACAUGCCAGAUAGAUAGUGGAGGGAACAUGUAACUGAGUAACCAGCACCAGAGCUGGGCCACACAUUCUUUGUUUUUCAUGCAGCCUGUAUUUGCGGGAGGGUGGUGGUAUUGAUGGCUCUGUGUGCCCCAGGGGUCUCUGUCCAGGCACUCUAGUGCUUCUCUGGUGGCUGUCCCUCUCCACUGGUCCAUAUUUCAAACUUCAGUUUGGGGAACGGGCCAUCAGCCUAGCAUGCCAGAGAGGAUCCCUCACAAACGACUCCUGAGACCCCUGGGUGCAGCUCGCACACGUUUUUAGUCCCUUUGGGACCUUGGCUUGCCUCCCAGCCCUUCUUCCUCAGGCUCUCUGGCUGGUCCCUGCUGACCUCGCACUGAAGAUCCUAGCGCAUUCCCCCAGGAAGGCUUGAGAUGGCGAAGAACUCUGCUUGGAGAACCCAGCUCUGGACACCUGUCUCUGGGCUUUGGCAGCAGGAAGCUGGCCACUGGCCUUAGCUGUCAGCUAGAAUGGGUCAUUUUCUUAGCAGCCAUGAAUGCAGAGGUAUUUCUGGUUAGUCUCAUAAGAACAAAACCAUCCACUUCCCCAGAGUCCUCACACAUUCCACCCAAAAAGCAAAGGAGACACAGGCCUUCUUGGUCUUCAGGAUCCCAUAGCUGUUUCCCCGAACAGGGAAGAAACUUUAGCCUUGGGUUUUCUCUCCAUUCCAUGACACAGGGCUCCAGGCCACUGCAGCUUCCGGACAUCAGUACCCGAUAGGUGUAAAGUGCCUACUCCCUGAAGAAAGAUCUGAAAAUAUUUUUUUGAUGACAGUGGGGAAUAUGUCUGGAUUUUUGGACUCAAUGGCACUAAUUAUAUCUUCUGAGGUUUAUGUGUAAAUAUGAUUUUGUGAAACUAAUCAUAUCUCUAAAGAGGAAAAAUAAACUCCUGCAAAGCUGCUCUAUGUGCUUGAGAGGACAGCAGCUGGGACAACUGCUCUGUGCUCAUCAGACCCAGCUGGAGGGCGGCACUGGCACUGCGCACAUCCAGGGGAGGGCCAGGCAGGGAAAAGGCUUCUGAACUGUGGCAUAAACAAGUAGGGCAGCGGCCUCCCCUUUCAUUUGAAUAUAAAAUUCAAAGUCUUUCUCCCGGCCUAAAAGGCCCACCAUCUGCUGCAGACUCUGCCCACUCCUCUGUUGGGCCUCAUGGCGUGAACCGGCAGCCUCCCUUCUGCCUGCUGAACACAUCCAGCUCAACCCGCUUUAGGGCCUUGAUGAUUCUGUGCCUGGAACGCUCUCUCUGGGGUGGCUCUCUGUUGUCCUGCAGGCCUCAGUCCCAGUGUCACCUUCUCAGAGAAGCCUUAUCUGAUCUCUUAUCUAGUGUGGCACCUCCAGCCAAUACCUACCAUGCUGCUAGCCUGUUUUAUUCUCUUCUUACUACUAUCUGCCACUUUCUGUUCAUUUACAUGCUUAUGAUCUAGCCAUCCCCCCUAGGACAUUCCAGCAGGUACCCUGCCUGUCUCUCUCGUAUCUCCCCAGCAUCUAGGACAAUCCUGAUUCACAGAAAAUGUUCAAAGAAUACUUGUUGCACAAA